rnacentral:rRNA from 1 species
GACGAACGCUGGCGGCGCGCCUAACGCAUGCAAGUCGAACGGACGAGAAGGAGCUUGCUCCUUCAAGUUAGUGGCGGACGGGUGAGUAACACGUGAGCAACUGCCCUUCAGAGGGGGACAACAGUUAGAAGUGACUGCUAAUACCGCAUAACAUGUUUUUAUCGCAUGGUAGAAACAUCAAAGAUUUAUCGCUGAAGGAUGGACUCGCGUCUGAUUAGAUAGUUGGUGAGGUAACGGCUCACCAAGUCGACGAUCAGUAGCCGAACUGAGAGGUUGAUCGGCCACAUUGGGACUGAGACACGGCCCAGACUCCUACGGGAGGCAGCAGGUGGGGGAUAUUGCACAAUGGGGGAAACCCUGAUGCAGCAACGCCGCGUGAAGGAAGAAGGUCUUCGGAUUGUAAACUUUUGUCUUUAGGGAAGAAGAAAGUGACGGUACCUAAGGAGGAAGCCACGGCUAACUACGUG